UCCCGGUGAUGACAUGUAAACAUAGAUGACGAGUCCGAUAUUAUCCAUUCCACUCAGCAUGAGGACGAAUCGAGGCAUUUGUCCGAGAGAA
rnacentral:snoRNA from 1 species